GAUGAACGCUGGCGGCGUGCCUAAUACAUGCAAGUCGAGCGAACAGACGAGGAGCUUACUCCUCUGACGUUAGCGGCGGACGGGUGAGUAACACGUGGAUAACCUACCUAUAAGACUGGGAUAACUUCGGGAAACCGGAGCUAAUACCGGAUAACAUGUUGAACCGCAUGGUUCAACAGUGAAAGACGGUCUUGCUGUCACUUAUAGAUGGAUCCGCGUCGCAUUAGCUAGUUGGUAAGGUAACGGCUUACCAAGGCAACGAUGCGUAGCCGACCUGAGAGGGUGAUCGGCCACACUGGAACUGAGACACGGUCCAGACUCCUACGGGAGGCAGCAGUAGGGAAUCUUCCGCAAUGGGCGAAAGCCUGACGGAGCAACGCCGCGUGAGUGAAGAAGGUCUUCGGAUCGUAAAACUCUGUUAUUAGGGAAGAACAAAUGUGAAAGUAACUAUGCACGUCUUGACGGUACCUAAUCAGAAAGCCACGGCUAACUACGUG
rnacentral:rRNA from 1 species